AUGCUCAUCCUCCAUAGCUUCGGUAACACCUCGGGCCUACGGAUAAACCUUGCUAAAUCUAUGGCCACGCCGAUCCACUGCAACAACAUCGACCUAGAACUAGUUCUUCACGCUUUCCGCGGUCCGAUCGCCCACUUCCCAAUUAGAUACCUAGGUCUACCCCUCACCACGGGCCGGCUACGCCUAGUUCACCUACAAUUCAUCCUCGACCGUGUCCGGGCCCGGCUUGCGGGGUGGAAGGGACGGAUGCUUUCCAUGGCGGGCAGGCGCGUACUUGUCCGCUGCGUCCUCUCGGCACCGCCCACCUUUCCCCUCACAGCGCUGCGAGUCCCCAAGAAACUGCUGAAGGAAAUUGACAAAUGCAGACGACGCUUUCUUUGGGGGAAGGACCAAGAGCUCUCCGGCGGUAGCUGCUGA
rnacentral:rRNA from 1 species